rnacentral:rRNA from 1 species
GUCGAGCGAGCUUGCCUAGAUGAAUUUGGUGCUUGCACCAAAUGAAACUAGAUACAAGCGAGCGGCGGACGGGUGAGUAACACGUGGGUAACCUGCCCAAGAGACUGGGAUAACACCUGGAAACAGAUGCUAAUACCGGAUAACAACACUAGACGCAUGUCUAGAGUUUAAAAGAUGGUUCUGCUAUCACUCUUGGAUGGACCUGCGGUGCAUUAGCUAGUUGGUAAGGUAACGGCUUACCAAGGCAAUGAUGCAUAGCCGAGUUGAGAGACUGAUCGGCCACAUUGGGACUGAGACACGGCCCAAACUCCUACGGGAGGCAGCAGUAGGGAAUCUUCCACAAUGGACGCAAGUCUGAUGGAGCAACGCCGCGUGAGUGAAGAAGGGUUUCGGCUCGUAAAGCUCUGUUGGUAGUGAAGAAAGAUAGAGGUAGUAACUGGCCUUUAUUUGACGGUAAUUACUUAGAAAGUCACGGCUAACUACGUGCCAGCAGCCGCGGUAAUACGUAGGUGGCAAGCGUUGUCCGGAUUUAUUGGGCGUAAAGCGAGUGCAGGCGGUUCAAUAAGUCUGAUGUGAAAGCCUUCGGCUCAACCGGAG